AAAAGUAACACAGUAAGCUUGAACACAACAAAUGAGACGGAAAAUACGGGCCUUUACAACUUGGGAAUUUACUUGCAGGGGAAGGACAGAAUCAUUGAACACAGAACACUGAUUGUUAAUAAUUCUGUUGAUGGUGGGAGACAAUCAUCCUUUUUAGCACUUGUCUGAAACAGAGAUUCAACCCUAGGACCUUAAACAAUGUGCCAUGGAAACACCAGACAGCGGUGCAGCAGACGACAUAAAGACUGAUGAUCUCGAGAGGAUGGUGAAGGCAUCAUAAAACCUCACAUUGGCUUUGUUUUUCGAUUAACGCUUUGUUUGUCAUGUUUCCUUUGGUACUUUGUGGACCGCCCUCACGAAAUAAAAAGGAUUCGCGGAGAUGUGGCCAGAACGAGCUGGAGAUUGGUGAGAGAGACACAGCCUGCAUUCUCCUGGCGAGUUAAAGUUCCCCUUGUCUUCCUUCCUUGAGAAAUUGUACUUUAAAUGUCUUGGGUCACGUGAGCCUGGCUCUCACUGGAUGCCAUUAUCACUGAUGCCAUCACUUAAGCUGCCACAGGCUAUGUGAACCUGACAGAUUCCAUUUUUAUUGUACUGCUCAGCUCUUUGUAUUACUUUUUGCACUUCAUUUUACUGUAACAUUACACAACAGAUUCGUCUGUAGAUUGACUUUGCUAAAAGAUUUACAUAAGCCCCAUAAAUGAGUACACAUGGAUGACAAAGUUUAAUGGGAGAAAGGUUACGACUAAUGACAUGUUUGUCCUGUCACUUGGCAAAGAACGAACAAAUGUAAAGAUUAUGCAUUUUUCAGGACUCAUGAAAACCCCUCACGAGCCACUUCGUUAGGAAUACCGAUCUUUUCAAAUCCAACAAUGAAGGGUUGCCCUUUGAUAAAAUGAGUGAUUACUGAAUACAUUUGAGCUUCAGCUCUAAAGAUGAAUAUGAGACAAAGGUUCCUAAUGCCACCUUUUAAUUUCAUCGCAUUUACAUCUGGGAUGCUUCCUUCUGGAAUCCAGGGGUAAAGGUAUUACCAUUUUUGAAGAUGAAAAACACUCAUCUGCCAAGACUAAGGGGACGCUAGAUUGAGGUGGGAAAGUGAGUGGAAGACUGAUUAGCACAUCUGCCUCACAGUUCCGUGGACCAGGAGUUCAAGUCCAAGUACCGCCUGUGUGAAGUUACCAUAUUCGCCCUGUGCCUGCAUGGGUUUUUUCCAAAACAUGCAAGAUGUGGGAGGAAACCGGAGUGGCCGGAGAAAACCCACACAGGCACGGGGAGAACAUGCAAACUCCACACAGGCAGGUCCUGGUCUGAACCCGGGACCUCAGAACUCUGAGGCCAACGCUUUACCAGGUGAACCACCG